AAUGGAGGACUGCAUUUUAAUGGAACUGCAGGGUAGAACUGUUUGAGGCCUCAACUCAAGUGCUGUAUUAGUUUUGGGCCUCUCACUACAAGGAAGACAUCAGGGCCCUGACGCAUGUCCAGAGAACAUUUUAACAGUGGUAUCCUAUCCACAGUCUUGUCUGGGUCAGGCUUUCUGCUUACCUGCUGACACCCCCUCCAGUGCUCAACAAGGUGAAGUGGAAGGUGUACACAUGUCAGAUGGCUCCCAGAAGUCUCCCACACUGCUAUAUGAAUUCUUACACUCAGAAGCAACAUCUGAGGAAAUGAGCUUGGGAAACCUGAGAAAGGAAUGAAGGAGUCAUUAGUUUUGCCCAUCUGGCAGCAGAACAGCUGGUCCUGCUGAGUCUGGAGAUUCCUUCCUGAUGUCUCUCCUGCUCAGUGUUACGCAGCUCAGCAGAAUCUUGAGGGUCUGUAUGGGAACUGUUGAAUCAUGGCCUGAACCUCUGAUUGACCACCUGAGGCAAGUACUGAGUCAGCCGUGGGAGCACAGGUGAAGGCAAUUCAGCUGUGUGACAGGAAGGGGUGGAGCCUGGCUGCACCUCUCCUAGACCCCAUUUAAGGGCUGACUGCCACUGAGGAGAGUUCUCUCUCUGGAGAUUGCUUGUUGUGGAGUUUUGUGUGCCUACAACACUGGAUCCACCACAACUGACUGGGCUCAGUGCUGCUGGGAUCAUCUCCAAUUUCAUAUCUACAAGCAGUCAUUCAAGCAGAUUUUCUUACUUGGACGUUCGAUUGCUGUGCAUUGCACUUAGCAAUUCAGGAAGUGCUGGUUGAGUCUUUCAAAUAUGUUGGUUUGUGCUUUUUUUUUUCUUUUUUUCUUUUCCUCAUCUGACAGCAGAGACUUCUGUUUCUUAUGACAAUCCACUUGGAUCUUUCUCAGAGACUUUCUGUCAGUAAUUGCUGAUUUUUUUUUUUUCUUCUGACAAAAAUGCACCCAAACACUUCUUCCCAACUGCAGAUACGCUAAAGCACUUUUGACGACACUGAAUCUGUCAUGCUUUACUCUCAUUUCCAUUUCUGGCAAAUCCAGGCUAUAACAUGACUGUGGAACUGCAAUUUCUCAGCACAUGUGUUUCUUGAAUUUGAAGCAGUGCCACAUUAGAAAUGAGUGGAGUUUCUAAACUUGUAUGAAUUACCAAUGUCUUUCAUGCUCACUUGUGAGGGAUGAGACCAUUGCCUCCUUUCUCUUGUCUACGUAACUCAAGAAACGUGACAGUUACAUUGAUAUCUUCAAUAAAAAGUGGUAUGUGCUUCGAACUGCAAACAGUUUACCAGCAUUAUGUAAACCAGGUCAUUGGUAAAAGAUG
ensembl:lncRNA